UAAAGGAAUUGACGGAAUGACACCACCAGACGUGGAGUGUGUGGCUUAAUUUGACUCAACACGGGGAAUUUUACCAGGUCAGGACAUGGCAAGGAUUGCCAGAUUGAGAGCUCUUGCAUGAUUCCAUGGAGGGUGGUGCAUGGCCGUUCUUGGUUGGUGGAGUGAUUUGUCUGCUUAAUUGCGUUAACGAACGAGAUCUCUGCCAAUAAAUAGAUGCUCCUUCCGUUCUGUAAGCUGUCAAGGUCUCCCCGGGCUUUCGGGCUUUGUGGAUCCUUGGGCUGAGGAGGGAGAGGUUUACUUAUUGGGAUUAUGCAUUUUUCCAAAUGCAUUGAGACAAGAGCCAAUAGCAGGUCUGUGAUGCUCCUUAAAUGUUCUGGGCCGCACGCGCACUACACUGAUACAGACAACGAGUAACGCUUCUGCGUCCUGGAUCGAAGGGUUCGGGAAAUCUUUGAAGCCUGUAUCGUGAUGGGGAUAGAUGAUUGCAAUUAUUCGCCUUGAACGAGGAAUGUCUAGUAGGCACGUUUCAUCAGAACGUACCGAUUAUGUCCCUGUCAUUUGUACACACCGCCCGUCGUUGCUACCGAUUGGUUUAUGCGUAGAAGCAUUUGGAGCGGCGUCAUGUUGGUCUCGGCCAGCGUGGUGCUGCAAAAUUUGCUGAUAUUUGUAAACUAGAGGAAGCAAAAGUCGUAACAAGGUUACUGUAGGUGAACCUGCAGAAGGAU
rnacentral:rRNA from 1 species